CUUCUACCUAGCCUUAUGUUGGCUGAUGGGACUGAGGUGUCCUUCUACCUAGCCUUAUGUUGGCUGAUGGGACUGAGGUGUCCUUCUACCUAGCCUUGAGUUGGCUGAUGGACUGAGGUGUCCUUCUACCUACCUUAUUGCUGGCUGAUUGAACUGAGGGUGACCUCUCUACCUAGCC
rnacentral:lncRNA from 1 species